rnacentral:rRNA from 1 species
AUAUGUAACGUUGUACUAGCUAAAAGGUACGCUAGGGGUAACAGGUCAAAGAAUACAUAUAGAUCUUAUAUAUUUAUUCUUUUGGCACCUCCAUGUCGACUCAUCAUUAC